rnacentral:lncRNA from 1 species
GUUCCAUCCCCUCUACUGCCAUCCAAGAGGCCUCUUGACUCUUCCAGAAUCAGAUGUAAAAGACAAGGCAGUGGCACUGCUUGUCGUUGCUGGGGAUACAUUCGCAGUGCCACACCUCCUCCACCUUCUCCACGGGGUAGACGGCUUCCACCUAGUGGCAGAUGAGCCGCAGCUGCGUAGGGUCCAGCUGCUUCUUGUUGCAAGCCCGGAAAUGGUUGUACUGCAGCCGGAGGUUCUCGGCG